CUUAGAUCAAGAUUAAACACAAUCAAGCAAGGUACUUCAGAUUGGCACCACCACUGUGAAGCAUGAAGGCCGCUACAGUCCUUGUGUUGGUCCUACUGGUGACUACAUACUCUGCUGCUGCAGCUCCGGCGCGGAAGUUGGCAGGAGAUGAUGGGCAGCAGACAGGCGAAACGGUGACGAAGACGGAGGUGAACGUACUAAACGGGAGGCCAGGUUCUGGCGACGGUGAGCAUAACUGCCGAAUGAGCUGGUUUGUCCCCUCUUCUUGCAAACCAGGUCCGUGAAAACCUGCUAGUAAAUCGUCACGGUUAAAUGGAGAACUGUGUGAACCAAUGACGAAUCAAGAAGUACUGCGGGGAAUGGUUUAUAUAUGAUGCUCUAGAAGAAAUUAAAAAGGCUGUAUUUUAGGUUAUAGCAGUAUAAUUUGCAGUUGUACUGCCAGAAACAUGGAUGUAAUUAGCAUGUAGUAUAAUAUACUAUACUCGCAUCAAUAAAAGCAUGGUUUGUUUAUGUAUACCUUCGGAUUGUAUAUGUAUUAUGAAUUACUGUAUAUCUAUACCUUUGGACUGUA